AUACGGAGGGGGCUAGCGUUAUUCGGAAUUACUGGGCGUAAAGGGCGCGUAGGCGGCCUGGUAGGUCAAAGGUGAAAUCCCUCGGCUCAACCGAGGAACUGCCUUUGAAACCAUCGGGCUCGAGUCUGGGAGGGGGUAGCGGAAUUCCUGGUGUAGCGGUGAAAUGCGUAGAUAUCAGGAGGAACACCAGUGGCGAAGGCGGCUACCUGGACCAGAACUGACGCUGAGGCGCGAAAGCGUGGGGAGCAAACAGGAUUAGAUACCCCGGUAGUCC
rnacentral:rRNA from 1 species